CCCACAUGCAGGACAUGCGGCCCAGGUGCAUACUGGAGCGCAUGGCCCAGGCGUGUGCCCGAUAUGCGGAGAGCAUGGAUUUGGCACGAUCCAUAGUGGAUAGUGUGGGAAGUCACGAUCCACACAGCCGUCAUGGACUGAAGUGGUGUAGGAGCUAAAAAUCAUGGCCCAUAGGCUGAUUUGCAUUAUCCAACAGCCCAAGAAGCUUGCUGGCAGUGAUCCAAUGGUUCUGGUGGUGAGCAUAAGUGAUCAGACAUGAUCAGGUGAGCAAGAGCAUGAUCGGAUGGCCAAGAUAGCGUGCGGAACGGAUCUAACGGUGAGGAAUUAUUGUGGAUAUUGAUCAGGACUGUAUCUUCAAUCUAGAGAGGGCUUUGACCUUAUAAAAGAGGGCUGAUGGUUGUAGAGAGGAGUGCGGCUCAGUGCAUCUCAACGAAUCUCAGAGAGGUCAGAGAGCAUCUCAGGGAGAUCGAGAGGACGUCUCAGGGAGAUCAGAGUGUGUCUCAAAUAGACUGGGAGAGCAUCUUAGGGAGAUCGAGAGGGGCAUCAACAGCAACCAGGAGUGUCCUGGAACGACUAUGGGAGUGGCCUAGGGACAGAGGCUAGGGCAUGAUGUAGCGGUUCAGAGCAUCACAUGG
rnacentral:lncRNA from 1 species